rnacentral:rRNA from 1 species
AUUGAACGCUGGCGGCGUGCUUAACACAUGCAAGUCGAACGGUAAGGCCCUUCGGGGUACACGAGUGGCGAACGGGUGAGUAACACGUGGGUGAUCUGCCCUGCACUUCGGGAUAAGCCUGGGAAACUGGGUCUAAUACCGGAUAGGACUCCGGACUGCAUGGUCUGGGGUGGAAAGCUUUUGCGGUGUGGGAUGGGCCCGCGGCCUAUCAGCUUGUUGGUGGGGUGAUGGCCUACCAAGGAGACGACGGGUAGCCGGCCUGAGAGGGUGACCGGCCACACUGGGACUGAGAUACGGCCCAGACUACUACGGGAGGCAGCAGUGGGGAAUAUUGCACAAUGGGCGCAAGCCUGAUGCAGCGACGCCGCGUGAGGGAUGACGGCCUUCGGGUUGUAAACCUCUUUCAGCAUCGACGAAGCGAAAGUGACGGUAGGUGCAGAAGAAGGACCGGCCAACUACGUGCCAGCCGCCGCAGUAA